UGAGGUAAACAGUCCCCCUUCUUCGGCCGAGGUGGUGCUCCGCCAGGGCUGGGGUCGCCGCCCGUUCUGGGGGGGCUCCUCGCACUGGCCGCACCUGGCUGGUGGUGGGAGGGUCGCGAGGGAGUGACCCCGCGGCUUGUCCUGGGGAUGGCGGGGCCCAGCCGAGGGGCCCGGGGCCAGGCGGGGGCCCUGCAGCGCUGAGGCGAGGCCGGGUGAGGGGGCACACCUCCCGCCCGGGGCGGCUCCCACAGAGCUUUCCUCCAGGUGCUGCGGUCGCACGGAAUUGAAAUUCGAAGCAAAACUCACGGAUAAAAUAGUCUGGUGUAUGGAUUAUUUGUCUGCAUUUGAAGAACAACUUUUGACUCCUAAAAAGCACCCGAGUGAGCGCGUAGGGAUCGCCGCAACCCUGCAAUGGAUGAAUAAUUGUGAGUGGGUUCUUGAAAAUCCCAUAGUAACAAUCUGAGGUUUAGCUCUCCAGUGAAGUAAAGAAGCGCCUUACCUUGGCCACAGAUAAAGCUUCCGGACAAAAAGACUUCUCAUCACCCUUUCCACAUGGCAAAAGCCAGUGUUAAAUGCAACUGCAUUGUCUGUAAAAGCUUUAAUGAAGCCUUGCUUGUUCUUCUGGCGAUAAAGUCGCAAGAUAAACCCUUCCUGGCAGGACUCGAUGAUUCUAUGUGCUUUGUAUACCAAAAUGCCUGGCAAAAUAAAGGUUUUUUUAAGUUACAAAA